AUUCCAGCUCCAAUAGCGUAUAUUAAAGUUGUUGCAGUUAAAAAGCUCGUAGUUGGAUUUCUGGGAGGGUGCCGCCGUCCGGCGUGUCCGUGUGCAGUGGCGCCCUUCCAUCCUUCUGUUAGCGUCUCUUGGCAUUCAUUUGCUGGUGGCGGGCUCAGAUAUUUUACCUUGAGAAAAUUAGAGUGUUUCAGGCAGGCUAGGCCGGAAUACAUUAGCAUGGAAUAAUGGAAUAGGACUACGGUCUCUUUGUUGGUUUGAGGGACUGCAGUAAUGAUUAAUAGGGAUAGUUGGGGGCAUUAGUAUUUAAUUGUCAGAGGUGAAAUUCUCAGAUUUGUUAAAGACUAACUUAUGCGAAAGCAUUUGCCAAGGAUGUUUUCAUUA
rnacentral:rRNA from 1 species